AGUGAACGCUGGCGGUAGGCCUAACACAUGCAAGUCGAACGGCAGCACAGUAAGAGCUUGCUCUUACGGGUGGCGAGUGGCGGACGGGUGAGGAAUACAUCGGAAUCUACUUUUUCGUGGGGGAUAACGUAGGGAAACUUACGCUAAUACCGCAUACGACCUACGGGUGAAAGCAGGGGAUCUUCGGACCUUGCGCGAUUGAAUGAGCCGAUGUCGGAUUAGCUAGUUGGCGGGGUAAAGGCCCACCAAGGCGACGAUCCGUAGCUGGUCUGAGAGGAUGAUCCGGCACACUUGAACUGAGACACGGUUCAGACUCCUACGGGAGGCCGCAGUGGGGAAUAUUGGACAAUGGGCGCAAGCCUGAUCCCGCCAUACCGCGUUGGUGAAGAAGGCCUUCGGGUUGUAAAGCCCUUUUGUUUGGAAAGAAAAGCAGCAGGUUAAUACCCCGCUGUUCUGACGGUACCCAAAGAAUAAGCACCGGCUAACUUCGUG
rnacentral:rRNA from 1 species